ensembl:lncRNA novel transcript
GAGAACGAGGAUGGGCAAAGUGUCAGGCUCUUGGUGCAGCUGAAAAUCCUUUGAGAUGGAAGAAAUGGCUGGAACAAAGGGGCAGAGGAACAAAAAGCCCUGAACUGCUUCGCCCCUGCCUCGUGGGGUCUUUAUCAUCUUAAACCUUGGGAUUUGGGCUUUGAUCAACUCGGCCUUCCUGGGCCUCGGGGAGAGAGACGGACUGCCUCCGGGUGCUCAUGACCUUUCCAGCAGUAAGCCAAUAAUGUAUGACUCCUGCGUUGCCGUUGCUCGUUUGAGGCCACGAAGUUUGUGGUGAUUUGUUACGGUGGCCCUGGAGAACUGACACAAGGGAACAUCUGUCCAGUCCCUGGGAUGGUGAGGCUAUAACCACAAAGGAAUAAGAGAAGACGACUAGUUUUGUAAUGGGCACAGUGGAUUGAAGAGGGGGGCAGUGCUGAGUCAUUCACGUGGUGUGUGAGGGCUCCUGUUUGUAAAUCAGGGAUUCUUGCAGCCUGCUUUUUCAGGGACAUUGGCUGCUGUCUUCUGACCCACCCUGUGUGGCUUUGGCGUCUCCUGUGACCUCCCAGUAUGGGUCUUGGCCUCAUCCUGCCUCUUUGUCUUUCUGGCCCACCACCCACAGCUUGAAUCUCAGGCUCCAACAGUUGCCUGACCCCCAGAUUCUGAUGACAGCCUACCUACUUGUUCUUCAGGCCCUCACCAGACUCACUGCCCAGACACACCACACAGGAGAACAUGAAAGGGUGAAUGAAUCUUUCAUCAUUUGAUGACCAAGUUGGCAUUCUUUUACAUUCCAGCCACCAGAGGAAGGUGUAUUUUAACACAAUUGCCCUCACAUCCUCCUUAACAGGAUUUACAUAAGUUUAUUAACACAUAUGUUUCUACAAAAUCAAGUUUUGAGAACCAUUUUUAUACACUGAUCUGGGACAUUUUGGGGAUAUGAAAUUAACUUUAGCACACACAGCAAGAAGAAAACCGAACAACAAAUUCUACAAACACCAAAUUUGCUGUGAAAUUUACAUUUCAGAAUCUCUCAAGAAAUAGUGCCCAGCAGCAAUUCUUACUGUUUUCACUUUUUCCCCCGUCUUCACAUUUUUAUGUUUGACAGUGCCAACAUAUUUUCUCAACAUUUAUUCUGAAAGGAAUGUACUUUGUGAAUUCCUUAAAUGCAGGAUGAUUCUGAUUUUAUUGGCCUAAUAGCUCCUCCUUAUGCGUGGGUUAGUAUAACAGAAUGCAUUUGAGACCUGCUAUACUAUUUUAAAUUAAGACAUUUCAUGUAGCACAUAGUAUUUUAAAAUGAAGAACAUUGUCUUGGAAAG